CCCAGACAGCCAGGAUGUUGGCUUAGAAGCAGCCAUCAUUUAAAGAAAGCGUAAUAGCUCACUGGUCGAGUCGGCCUGCGCGGAAGAUGUAACGGGGCUAAACCAUGCACCGAAGCUGCGGCAGCGAACGUAUCACUUAAAGCGAUUCAGCGGGUUACGAUUGACGGAGCGAAGCGACGUCAAAGCGUAUACAAAGUCGAGUCGGUUUAAGGAUACGUUCGUUGGGUAGGGGAGCGUUCUGUAAGCCUGUGAAGGUGGCCUGUGAGGGUUGCUGGAGGUAUCAGAAGUGCGAAUGCUGACAUAAGUAACGAUAAAGCGGGUGAAAAGCCCGCUCGCCGGAAGACCAAGGGUUCCUGUCCAACGUUAAUCGGGGCAGGGUGAGUCGACCCCUAAGGCGAGGCCGAAAGGCGUAGUCGAUGGGAAACGGGUUAAUAUUCCUGUACUUGGUGUUACUGCGAAGGGGGGACGGAGAAGGCUAUGUUGGCCGGGCGACGGUUGUCCCGGUUUAAGCGUGUAGGUGUGUGUUCCAGGUAAAUCCGGUUCACUUUAACACUGAGGCGUGAUGACGAGGCACUACGGUGCUGAAGCAACAAAUGCCCUGCUUCCAGGAAAAGCCUCUAAGCAUCAGGUAACAUCAAAUCGUACCCCAAACCGACACAGGUGGUCAGGUAGAGAAUAC
rnacentral:rRNA from 1 species